GAUGGCAGCACCACCCUCUGUAGCAGAGAGAACAGUCUAUGGGCUGGGGUAUAUAGGUCCUGGAUGACAGCACCACCCUCUGUAGCAGAGAGAACAGUCUAUGGGCUGGGGUAUAUAGGUCCUGGAUGGCAGCACCACCCUCUGUAGCAGAGAGAACAGUCUAUGGGCUGGGGUAUAUAGGUCCUGGAUGACAGCACCACCCUCUGUAACAGAGAGAACAGUCUAUGGGCUGGGGUAUAUAGGUCCUGGAUGGCAGCUCCACCCUCUGUAGCAGAGAGAACAGUCUAUGGGCUGGGGUAUAUAGGUCCUGGAUGACAGCACCACCCUCUGUAGCAGAGAGAACAGUCUAUGGGCUGGGGUAUAUAGGUCCUGGAUGACAGCACCACCCUCUGUAGCAGAGAGAACAGUCUAUGGGCUGGGGUAUAUAGGUCCUGGAUGACAGCACCACCCUCUGUAGCAGAGAGAACAGUCUAUGGGCUGGGGUAUAUAGGUCCUGGAUGACAGCACCACCCUCUGUAACAGAGAGAACAGUCUAUGGGCUGGGGUAUAUAGGUCCUGGAUGACAGCACCACCCUCUGUAGCAGAGAGAACAGUCUAUGGGCUGGGGUAUAUAGGUCCUGGAUGACAGCAC